ACGUCAAGUCCUCAUGGCCCUUACGGGCUGGGCUACACACGUGCUACAAUGGUGGUGACAGUGGGAUGCGAGCGCGCGAGCGCAAGCCGAUCCCGAAAAGCCAUCUCAGUUCAGAUUGCACUCUGCAACUCGGGUGCAUGAAGGCGGAAUCGCUAGUAAUCGCGGAUCAGCAUGCCGCGGUGAAUACGUUCCCGGGCCUU
rnacentral:rRNA from 1 species